CCCAACAAUAGGGGGAACAAGUGCAUAUUCGCCAGCACCCCUGACUUCUCAGCAGCUUUCUAUCUAAUAACACACACUCAACAACAGGAGCUCAACUACUGUACGUUAACAGAAUGAAAGAACGACAAAAUAUAUUUAGUUCCACUAGUUUACCAAUAACAAUUUUAUGGUCCAAGAUACACGACGAACAGUUACCCUGCCGUGCUUUCUGGUUGAAUAAGCGUACUGUUUUGUUUUAAUUGCUUGGAAGUAGCGUAGGCUAAUGUUAAGGACAAAAUUUAUAGCUCAUGUCAGCUGUCAAGUUGUUGUGUCAUUAGAAAGGAACAAAUGCUGUCUACACUGCGCCUACAAGUAGAGAACAGGGGCGGGUGGGCGUUAUUAACAUAAUGCUAACCUCUUUGUUUAUAGCCUAUAUAUGUUCGAUGGAACGAGCAAUUCCCCGGACAUUUUAGGAAUUUAGAAAUCCUGUCUGAACGGAUAGGCUACUUACUGUUCCAAAAAGAAAUGUAGGCUACGGGGAAAACAGGACGCCCGGUCAGCGUAAAAUGAUUUUUAAACGUCAGCAUUGUUGAAAUUAGCUAGUUGUAGGCUAUUCGCGUUAACCUAGUCGUAGACUGGCAUUUUAGUGAGCGUAGAUCAAUAUAGUCGCGAGGGGAAAAAACAAAACAAUCGGUGCUAUUUCUAACAAAGAGUAGCCUACUAUUUUUAGACAGUGAGUGUGGAAAAGGCAUGGUUUCUGCUUCCAAGCUGUCGGCUCAUCUCUUUGGGGACUACCUGCUGGUGCAGCAGACACACGCUGCAAGAGCAACCGAGGCGUAUGAAGCCGUUCCUCAUCCUCCUCCGUGUGGGACUGGUUGCGCACUGGCGCCAGCCCCUCUGUCUUGGUGUCAUAGUUGUGGAAACACACGUCGAGCUUCUCAUCGAACUCGUUGACCAGGUCCUCCAUGGACUUGAAGCUGAUCAUCUCUGAGAAGUUCUCCAGCUCGGAGAAGUCCUCCCGGGUGAGCGGGACGGUGCCGUAGGGACGCAGUGGCUCCUGCUCCUGUUCUUCCGCCCUGCAGGGCCGCAGGUCAUCAAACUCCUCGUCCAGGCACACCAGUGGGGCCUCCAUCCUGCCCUUCUCGCUUGUAAGUCUGUUUGGAGCGAGGAAGUGUCAAUACUUCACCUGCCGUUUGUCAUUUUGCGUAUUUCUUUAGAGUUAAGUCAGUAAUGAUAUCAAAGAGGUCACCCUGACUGGUACUUCAAAAGAAUCUGAAAGAAUUACUAAGAUAAAAAUAUAUAUAAGCCAUAAUUCUUUCAGAAACUCAAAGAUAUGCCCUUCAACAUGUAUAACUGUAUAGUAUAUAUUACAUAUGCAUUGCAUUCUGGUAGUUUAUUUUCUUCAUAAUGAAUAGGCAAUUCAAUCAUGCAAAAAGAAUGAAAGGAAAACAGAGGACUGAUAUAUCCAUUCAGAUUCCUUUGGGAAUGUGGUUGAAUUGUAUUUCGGAUGGCAGAGAUUUUCUUUUUUGCUGAUGAAGUUUGGGACUUGGGGACAGAGCCUUGAAAGGGAAAGAUUACAAAAUUGGCAGGCUACUACUGUACAUUACAGUUAUUAUCAGGGGCAUUAUCUCAGUAGUCAUUAGCAGUGGCACAUGCUUUCCGGAAUCAACACUCACAGUAAAAUACCUUCUGAAACACUGUCCUGUCUUGGAUGGGGAAAAUGAGUGUUUCAUAAAAAAUAAAAAAAACCUAUUUGAUGCUUUGAUGCCUUUUUCAAUUAGAGGGGAUCAAAGAGUUGCUCAGUUGUAUUGUGAGGGCCCUGUUGACCAAUCAGUUUGCAGAUGGUAUUGUGUAAGUAGCCUAUAUUUCAUAAUUCUAAUAUAACCUCUGCAUGCCAACGAUCGCAACUCAAAUGGAUUUAAAAAGGCUUCUGCUCCAUCAGGUGACUUGAUUAUGAUACAAAUGCCAUUUUUGGAAGCUUAUCCCUGUCCUCUCCAGAGGAAGAGAUGUAGACUUAAUUCACUCCAAGAGGCUUCUGUAAGCCUGUUCUUUUAUCAAUAUUAUUACUCAGCAGAGGAAAUCAAAGUAUCUCUCAAUCACUUACUCACUUACCGACCCUCACCCUCACUCUCCCUUGUUUUGUUUUCAUGCCAGCCUUAUUUGACAUUGUGGUCAAACUAAUGAGGGUUUGUCCCAGACAAAUAGGUAGACUGGGAAUACAGCGGUAGGUCACAAUCUGUUGGGCCCUUUUAAAACAGGCCAGAGGCGGAUGUAUUUCGUCUGCUCUGCAAUGCGUGCCUCCAUGAGACGUCCAACUUCGUGUGUGUGUCAGCAAGUGAAAGGGCUCUAGCUCAAAUGUGGAUUCUACGGUUUCUUAGCCUCCAGCUGACAAAUUAAAUCAGAGCAAGGGGGCUAAUGCUGUAUGUGUUCAUUUGUUUUAUGUUUGCAUGUAGCAUACAGCCUGUAUCAUGUUUCUGCAUCUGUUUUAAAGCCCUACUGAUCAUUUUCAGCAAUAAAACUGAAAACGGACAUAGGCAGAGAGUCUGAAUGAGCCAGAAGAA